rnacentral:rRNA from 1 species
CGGUAGGUGAACCUGCGGAAGGAUCAUUAUUGAAUACGAUUGGUACUGAUGCUGGCUCUUAACUGAGCAAGUGCUCGUCCAUCUAUUUAUCUUCUCUUGUGCACAUUUUGUAGUCUUGAACGUACCUCUCGCAGUAAAAUGCGGUUUGGGAGCUUGGGCGCAAGCCCUUCUCCUGCUUCUUCAAGGCUAUGUUUUCAUAUACACUAUAAAGUUACAGAAUGUCUUUUAACGAUUGCGCUUGUCGUAGUCAUUAAACCUAUACAACUUUCAGCAACGGAUCUCUUGGCUCUCCUAUCGAUGAAGAACGCAGCGAAAUGCGAUAAGUAAUGUGAAUUGCAGAAUUCAGUGAAUCAUCGAAUCUUUGAACGCACCUUGCGCCCUUUGGUAUUCCGAAGGGCAUGCCUGUUUGAGUGUCAUUAAAUUAUCAACCUUGCUCGCUUUUACCGGCUUGAGUUAGGCUUGGACUUGAGGGCUUGCUGGCUUCCUUCAGUGGAUGGUCUGCUCCCUUUAAAUGCAUUAGUGGGAUCUCUUGUGGACCGUCACUUGGUGUGAUAAUUAUCUAUGCCACUUGACCUUGAAGCAAACCUUAUGGGAACCCGCUCAUAACCGUCUUCGGACAACUUUUGACAUUUUGACCUCAAAUCAGGUAGGACUACCCGCUGAACUUAAGCAUAUCAAUAAGCGGAGGAAAAGAAACUAACAAGGAUUCCCCUAGUAACUGCGAGUGAAGCGGGAAAAGCUCAAAUUUAAAAUCUGGCGGUUCUUGUAGCCGUCCGAGUUGUAAUUUAGAGAAGUGUUAUCCGCGCUGGACCGUGUACAAGUCUCCUGGAAUGGAGCGUCAUAGAGGGUGAGAAUCCCGUCUUUGACACGGACUGCCAGGGCAUUGUGAUGCGCUCUCAAAGAGUCGAGUUGGUUGGGAAUGCAGCUCAAAAUGGGUGGUAAAUUCCAUCUAAAGCUAAAUAUUGGAGAGAGACCGAUAG